rnacentral:rRNA from 1 species
GACGAACGCUGGCGGCGUGCUUAACACAUGCAAGUCGAACGGUGAAGCCCCAGCUUGCUGGAGUGGAUCAGUGGCGAACGGGUGAGUAACACGUGAGCAACCUGCCCCUGACUCUGGAAUAAGCGCUGGAAACGGCGUCUAAUACUGGAUACGAGAAGGGCCCGCAUGGGCACUUUCUGGUAAGUUUUUCGGUUGGGGAUGGGCUCGCGGCCUAUCAGCUUGUUGGUGAGGUAAUGGCUCACCAAGGCGACGACGGGUAGCCGGCCUGAGAGGGCGACCGGCCACACUGGGACUGAGACACGGCCCAGACUCCUACGGGAGGCAGCAGUGGAGAAUAUUGCACAAUGGGCGAAAGCCUGAUGCAGCGACGCCGCGUGAGGGAUGACGGCCUUCGGGUUGUAAACCUCUGUCAGCAGGGAAGAAGCGAAAGUGACGGUACCUGCAGAAGAAGCACCGGCUAACUACGUG